rnacentral:rRNA from 1 species
GGGGAAUCUUCCGCAAUGGGCGCAAGCCUGACGGAGCAACGCCGCGUGAGUGAAGAAGGCUUUCGGGUUGUAAAACUCUGUCUUCAGGGAAGAAAAAAAUGACGGUACCUGAGGAGGAAGCCCCGGCUAACUACGUGCCAGCAGCCGCGGUAAAACGUAGGGGGCGAGCGUUGUCCGGAAUUACUGGGCGUAAAGGGCGCGUAGGCGGUUUCUUAAGUCAGAGGUGAAAACUAUGGGCUCAACCCAUAGCCUGCCUUUGAAACUGGGAGACUUGAGGGCAGGAGAGGGGAGUGGAAUUCCCAGUGUAGCGGUGAAAUGCGUAGAUAUUGGGAGGAACACCAGUGGCGAAGGCGGCUCUCUGGCCUGUUUCUGACGCUGAGGCGCGAAAGCGUGGGGAGCAAACGG